UACAGAGGGUGCGAGCGUUAAUCGGAAUUACUGGGCGUAAAGCGUGCGCAGCCGGUUGCUUAAGUCAGAUGUGAAAGCCCCGGGCUCAACCUGGGAAUUGCAUUUGAGACUGCGUAGCUAGGGUGCGGAAGAGGGAAGCGGAAUUUCCGGUGUAGCGGUGAAAUGCGUAGAUAUCGGAAGGAACACCAGUGGCGAAAGCGGCUUCCUGGUCCAGCACCGACGUUCAGGCACGAAAGCGUGGGGAGCAAACAGG
rnacentral:rRNA from 1 species